ensembl:lncRNA
AUGCCUAGGUGCCUGGAAUUUCCCUUGAAGGAACUCAAGAUUUUCCUUUAUUUUCAUGCUCGUUGUUGGGGUGGUACUCAGGCCCCUGUGAGGGGUCCCUGCCCUGUUUCACUUCCCCCAAACUUGUGGCCCAGGGAAGCCAAUGUGGAUACCCCUGAUUUAGAUGAUAGUCCGCUUCUGCCACUUCGUUGAGCUUCAUUUAUCUGAUCUGCCACAUGCAAAGGUUAGGUAAGAUGGCUUCUAAACUAUGACUUUGUAAAUUUUUGCUCUUUAUAAGAAGAUAAUUUAUAUGUAAACCAGUUUACUUCCAUACUAACCAAGAUUGUCUCCUUUCACAGUAGUGAAUCAGAUUGCUAUCCAUUUGGCCUGGUCAUUUGAGUCUUGCUAAUUGGUCUAUGAGAAACAUUGUCAAAAUUUUGAAUCUGCUCUUUAGGGGGACAUUUAGGUGAACCGGUGUGAACUGAUAUUUUAGGAUUGUGUCCAAUUGAAUGUGUGUGUGUGUGUGAUGGGGGAGUUGAGGUUUGCCACAUGAUUAGUUUUUCAUCUAAUUUUAAUAUUAAUUAUUUGGAGAGCCCUAGUAAUUGUUCAUGUAUUUCUUCUUAAACACAAUAUAAACAGACCCAUUAUUAGGAUUCAAACUUUGAACUGUAUCCUUUCCUCCUUCCUUCCCAACUCCUUUCUCUGUCCCUACUCCUCCCUCCUUUCUUUCUCUCUCCUUCUUCCUUUUCUUCCUCUCCCUUCUCUCCCUUCUUUCCUCUCCCCUCCAAAUAUUCUCUCCUUUCUCCUUCCCUUUCUUCCUCCCUCCCUUGCUUACUCACUCCUUUCCUUCCUUCUAAGAGAGUUUAAUGAGAAUCCACUGUGAGGCACUUUUCUGAGGACUUAACGAUUCAAGCUUUAAAUAAGGUCUAGUCCUUGUCCUCAGGUAGCUCUUAGACUCAUAGGGCACACAGAAACGAACAGAUACUAAUCAUAAAAUAAGUUGGUAAGUACAGCAAUGUCAAAAACACUGUGUUCUUAUAGGGUUAGAUAGAAUUUAGGGUUAGGAAGCAUUCCAAAUGAGGCGAUAGUUGGGUUGAGACUAGUCAGAUGAGUAUGGUCAUGGUAACAAUAUAUACAAUAUAUAUACUAUAUAUACACACAAUAUAUAUACAAUAUAUACUCUAUAUAUAAUGCAUAUACACACACACACACACACACACAUAUAUAUAUUUCCGCAAACACCUUUUACUGAACUUCUUGAGUUUCAUGACUGCCCUUUAGAACUUGGAAAAGAACACAAGCUACAGUAAAGAAAAAUAUGCCCGUCCAAACAAAUUUGAAAGGUCAACUCUCAGUCUGUCAAACUGAGAUUCUUGUUGUACACUUGAUUCUCUUGGUGUAACACCCCCAUGGUUUGAAGGGAAACAUGCCCUUUAGAAAACAGGACAGACCGUCAUGGGUUGGGUUUGUCAAACUUUUUUAGUACCCUGGGUUUUAUCAAAAUAACGCCAUCCAGUUUUGCCAAGGGCUUUGCUCCUCACUUAAAAAGCCCUCAUAUUUCAGUCCAUGUGUUUCAUAUUCAUUUAGACAUCUUAUCACGCUAGAGUUGGGUAAGAAUUGUUUAGUGUCCAAAACGUCUUUCCUACUAGCCUUUGAUUCUUGGAUUCUUAGAAAUAAAGAUUAUGCCAGGUAUGGUGGCUCACACCUAUAAUCCCAGCACUUUGGUAGGCCAAGGAAGCGGAUCACUUGAGGUCAGGAGUUCAAAACCAGCCUGGGCAACAUGGUGAAACCUUAUCUCUACUAAAAAUACAAAAAUUAGCUAGGUGUGGUGGUGCUUACUUAUAGUCCCAGCUACUCGGGAGACUGAGAAUUGCUUGAAUCCAGGAGAUAGAGGUUGCUGUGUGCUGAAAUUACACCACUGCACUCCAUCCUGGCUGGAGAGUCUCAGAAUGAGACUCUCAAAAAAAAAAAAAAAAAAAAAGAAAGAAUGAAUGAAUGAAAGAAUUACACUUUGCCAAAUGUAAAUGAAUUUCAGACCCUUACUUUUCAAAGGGGCUUUGCAAAUCUCCUUGUGCUGUAGGCAAAUCUGGAAAAAUCUGUAUGUCCCUAUCCUGAUUCUAGAGAUACUCAGGCAUGGGAGCCUUUCUCAAAGUGAUCUCCCUAUAUUAGAAUCCCCCAGGGGUUCUUAAAAAUACCUCUUCAUGGGCUCCAAUACAGAUUUACUAAAUUUGAAUCCCUUCUUGUUUUAUAUAAUGUGAUUCUUUAGAAGGAACUGCACAUUCACUUAGUGAAUAUGUACUGUAUAUUUAUAUAGUGAAUAGGUACUAUAUAUAAAUAUAUA